GGUUCCAUAGUGUAGCGGUUAGCAUGCCUGCCUUAAAAGCAAGACAGUCCUGGGUUCGACUCCCAGGGGAACUA